CCUACGGGUGGCAGCAGUGGGGAAUAUUGGGCAAUGGGCGCAAGCCUGCCCCAGCAACGCCGCGUGAAGGAAGAAGGCUUUCGGGUUGUAAACUUAUUUUCUCAGGGACGAAGAAAGUGACGGUACCUGAGGAAUAAUCCACGGCUAACUCCGUGCCAGCAGCCGCGGUAAUCCGUAGGUGGCAAGCGUUAUCCGGCUUUCCUGGGUGUAAAGGGCGGGUAGGCGGGACUGCAAGUCAGAUGUGAAAACCACGGGCUCAACCUGUGGCCUGCAUGUGAAACUGUAGUUCUUGAGUACUGGAGAGGCAGACGGAAUUCCUAGUGUAGCGGUGAAAUGCGUAGAUAUUAGGAGGAACACCAGUGGCGAAGGCGGUCUGCUGGACAGCAACUGACGCGGAGGCGCGAAAGCGUGGGGAGCAAACAGGAUUAGAUACCCCAGUAGUC
rnacentral:rRNA from 1 species